CUCAAUGGUCCUCCUGACGUUCUAAGCUUGUUCUUGUGUCACAGAGCCUGGAAGUCUGGAAAGCACAUUGUCCAGAUUCCUUUGCCGGUGGAACAUGGAGUGAUAGAAAACAGGAGCUGGGUUGAGGCAAGACAGAAGGACAGAGACGUUUCCUCAGUCAAGGUCCCAAAUGAAGAAAACAUAGAGCAAAGGACCCUCUUUUCCCACAGAUGUCCUGUGACUUAAUAUAGUGUGAGUGGGAAAUAAGCACUUGCUUGGCUACUGGGAUUUGAAGGCUUUUUGUUACUGCAACAUAACGUAGCC
rnacentral:lncRNA from 1 species